rnacentral:rRNA from 1 species
UACGUAGGGGGCAAGCGUUGUCCGGAAUCAUUGGGCGUAAAGCGCGUGUAGGCGGCUCGAUAAGUCUGCUGUGAAAGUCCAGGCUCAACCCUGGGAUGCCGGUGGAUACUGUCGAGCUCGAGUCCGGAAGAGGCGAGUGGAAUUCCUGGUGUAACGGUGAAAUGCGCAGAUAUCAGGAGGAACACCAAUGGCGAAGGCAGCUCGCUGGGACGUGACUGACGCUGAGACGCGAAAGCGUGGGGAGCAAACAGG